rnacentral:rRNA from 1 species
UUCUGCCACCGAAUACAUUAGCAUGGGAUAAUGGAAUAGGACCCUGUCCUCCUAUUUUCAGUUGGUUUUGGCAGCGCGAGGACUAGGGUAAUGAUUAAUAGGGAUAGUUGGGGGCAUUAAUAUUUAAUUGUCAGAGGUGAAAUUCUUGGAUUUAUGAAAGAUUAACUUCUGCGAAAGCAUCUGCCAAGGAUGUUUUCAUUAAUCAAGAACGAAAGUUAGGGGAUCGAAGACGAUCAGAUACCGUCGUAGUCUUAACCAUAAACGAUGCCGACCAGCGAUUAGGAGACGUUGAAUACAAAACACCACCAUCGGCGCGGUCGUCCUUGGCGUGUCAGCUUCACGGCUGGCGCGCGAGGGCGGUUUAGCCCGGUGGCACCGGUGAAUGACUCCCCUAGCAGCUUGUGAGA